rnacentral:lncRNA from 1 species
GGAGGGAUCUGGGGCUGGGGCCAGGCACGUGCUGGGGCACGCAGGGGUCCCAGGCAGCAGAGGAGAGGCCUUCCUCGCCGGCCGCCAGCAGCUCCCCAGCGAACCCAGCCGCUCCCGCUGAUGUGUGCAUGAGCGGUGUGUGUGCCUGCUGUGGCGCCUGUGCGUGCCAUGGUGCCUGUGCAUGCUGUGCUGCGUGUGUGCUGCACUGCGUGUGCAUGCUGUGCUGCGUGUGUGCUGUGCUCGGUGCGCAUGCUGUGCCACAUGUGCAUGCCAUGCCACUGUGCUGCAUGUGCUGCAUGUGCAUGCUGGGCCAUGUGUGUGCUGUUUGCGCAUGCUGUGCCAYGUGUGCAUGCCCGUGCUGCAUGUGCAUGCUGUACUGCGUAUGCCUGCUGUGCCGUGUGCCCGUGCUGCACAUGCAUGCCCAUGCCAUAUGUGCAUGCCAGGCUGUGUGUGCAUGCCUGUGCCACAUGCACAUGCUGUGCCGCGCAUGUGCUGUGCUGCGUGUGCAUGCCUGUGCUGUGUAUGCACGCCAGGCUGUGUGUGCUGUGCUGCGCGUGUGCCAUGCCGCGUGUGUACAUGCUGUGCUGUGUGUGUGCGUGCCGUGCUGCGUGUGCAUGCUGUGCCACGUGUGCAUGGCCAUGCGCAUGCACGGGACCCCCACACCCCCCCCUCGCUCGUGCCCAGGGCGGGCUGCCAGGCUCAGCCGGGCGAUGCCUGAGCUCUUCCCUCCUCCCGCGCGUGUUGGCAAAAUCCUGCUGGCAAAGUUGGGAAACAGAGAGAGCCCCGUUGGCCCGGCUGUCGGGGGAAUCGCAGCUGCGGCGGCUCGCGAACUGCACAGUCGCGGCGCAAUCUGCUCCGCCGGAGGUGUUACUCGGGCAUGUGGCGGGGAGGGCGGCGGGCUCGGGGGCUGGCGCUGCCGCGGCGGCUUUCCCUGCGGGGGCUGCCCRGAGCAGGCUGCCGCAGGGGAUGCUCGUCCCCGCCGGCCCGGCCUUNNNNNNNNNNNNNN